rnacentral:lncRNA from 1 species
GGGGAGACACCAGAGCACCAACUUCUCUCACUUAAACCUUAUGACAACCUUAAGAAGUAGGCAGCAUGAUCCCCUUCUUGGAAAUGCAGAAAGAGAGAAUGGGGGAGAUUGAGAGGCUUGCAGAAUGUGACAUCAUUAGGGAGAACAGUGGUUGAGGUCCAGCAGCUCCUGCAGAUGGGUGGUGGUGGAAGGAGGAGAGAAUGGGCCACAGGCAGGCCAAGGGCAAGCUUAGCAGCACUCAACAUCCUCCAUGAACUCAACAGAAGUCAAGAAUGCAGGCAGCUCAUGAUGAAGACCUGCAGCGGCCCAGGUUUACCAAGCUCAUUCACAAUUGCAGUUGGAGAAUUCGUCUUUGGUCAUUUUCUACUUUGGAAAUACGAGACAGGAUCUCCCUCUGUUGUGCAGGCUGGUCUCAAACUCCUGCCUUCAAGCGAUCUUCCUGCCUGGCCUCCCAAAGUGUUGGAAUUACAGGCAUGAGCCACUGCACCCGCCCAGUAAAUCCUUUCUGAUACACCCUUAGUACUUCCAACUAAGUACCAGUCAUCAUUUUCCUUCAUUUCAUGGGUAUGGGGACAAAGAAAAUGGCAUAUUCAGUUCCCAAACUGUCAUUUCUGCCAGUCCUACCUAAAAAAUUGGUCCAUAGCCAAAAAGAUGGUCUUACUUCAUUUUGACUACGUUUACUAUGCUUAAGACAAGGUGUUAGUUAUUUCAGUACCCAAAAUAAAGCUUUUCAGAAUUUGUUCAUA